CAACUGCAAGUAAGUAAUACCAUUUAUUGUUUUUGUUUUGGUAUUUAAAUUACUUUAACAUACACGAGUUAGUAUUUAUUAAACUACUAUAACGUCACUGAUUUACGGAAAUAUAGCUAUAAAUGCCGCAUUCAACGGCAAAACCACCUUGCUAGAGGCUACGUUAGUUACCUCCACCGAGGCAUCUCAAGUGAUAAGCUACACUUCAUACAUCCCAUAGUGAAACAGCAAUGAUAGAAGUAAACGUUCAGAGAACAUUUGAAGUUUAACAAUAUAAAUUACUGAACAUACACUGCUUCAACAUAAUAUAGAGUUUUACAUUUACUAGAAGCUCCACUGUAUAUUCCAGCAACCUUUGUCUGUAUUUACAUAGUAUUGGAGUGUCGAAAUGACAAAAUGAAAACCUGGAAAACGAUGGAGAAGAACUGGUAAAGAAGUCGACUGAAAUAAAUGAUCAAGAAGGACUGUAAAGUUGUCAUCCUGUCCUGCAACCACCUAUGUGAAUGUGGAGACUGAUGAGCAAUGGCUAAGGGAUAGCAGCAGAAUAACACUGCAGGAGGCGGUGCCUCCUGAAGGAGCCCAAAACACUGCUCUUCAAAUGGAAGACAUCCAACCUUCAGGUGUCCAUGCAGGAUGUACCACUCUGGAACAUCAAGCCUCUCCCUACCUGCCAGCACAUGAAAAUAUUUCUACUUCUGACUAUCAAAGACAAUGGAAAACAAUUUUCCAGAUCAGCCCUCACAGAUCCUCCUGAUGGCCUAACAACUGAACUACAUGUCGAUGCUAAGUAUGAUUUAUCUCAAUCAUUUGAGGAAGCUCUCCCUGAUAUAGGGGAUUGGCUGUACAAUGACAGACAUACGUUUAAUGAAGGAUUUGAAGAUAGUUUGAGUGAGGAGUGUGCAGAAGAGUCAAAUUUCAAGGACACAACAGACAAACCAAUACAUGACAAAGCAUCAGAAACCAUGGCAGAGUGCCUUCUGAUCAUCAUGGGUUAUGUAAACUGUCAAAAAGUCACUGAUAAGGCCUUAAGCGAUAUGCUCAAAAUGUUCAAGUUGCUUUGUCCUGAUAGUCUGAACACAGACUUCUUCAACAGUGUGCAGAAGUUCAAAAACUUUUUUUUAUCCCGCUCUGCAUCAUCGCUUAUUAUAUUACAUAAAUCCUCCAGUAAUUGUUUUGGGCCAAUAGAAAGUAAACAAAUAAAAUGCCUGUUUUGUGGGACCAGUGUGUCAGAAGAAAGAUUCUCAUCCUUUUUUUUAAAGUAUGUACAGAUUGAUUUCUUCUUUACCAUAGCACAUUCAUGUGCCAAAUGGGCCAGUUUGUGUUAUCUUUUG